rnacentral:rRNA from 1 species
GUUGUAGUCUGGAGAAGUGCUUUCCGUGCCGGACCGUGUAUAAGUCUCUUGGAAUAGAGCGUCAUAGAGGGUGAGAAUCCCGUCUUUGACACGGACUACCGGUGCUUUGUGAUGCGCUCUCAAAGAGUCGAGUUGUUUGGGAAUGCAGCUCAAAAUGGGUGGUAAAUUCCAUCUAAAGCUAAAUAUUGGCGAGAGACCGAUAGCGAACAAGUACCGUGAGGGAAAGAUGAAAAGCACUUUGGAAAGAGAGUUAAACAGUACGUGAAAUUGCUGAAAGGGAAACGCUUGAAGUCAGUCGCGUUGUGCAGAACUCAACCUAGCUCUCGCUUGGUGCACUUUCUGUAUGACGGGUCAGCAUCGAUUUUGACCGUCAGAAAAGGGCUGAAGGAAUGUGGCACCUCCGGGUGUGUUAUAGCCUUUGGUCGCAUAUGGCGGUUGGGAUCGAGGAACGCAGCGUGCCGCAAGGUGGGGCUUCGGCCUACAUUCACGCUUAGGAUGCUGGCAUAAUGGCUUUAAACGACCCGUCUUGAAACACGGACCAAGGAGUCUAACAUGCCUGCGAGUGUUUGGGUGGAAAACCCGAGCGCGUAAUGAAAGUGAAAGUUGAGACCUCUGUCGUGGAGGGCAUCGACGCCCGGACCUGAAGUUUUCUGACGGAUCCGCGGUAGAGCAUGUAUGUUGGGACCCGAAAGAUGGUGAACUAUGCCUGAAUAGGGUGAAGCCAGAGGAAACUCUGGUG